CUCUGUAUUAUGCUCUAAUGUGUAAAUAUUCUUUUUAGAUAAACAAAAAAAAAAAAUCUGCCGACGAUUCCAGAUUUUUAAAGACCUAAUAUGGGCCGAUUAAAUCAGGCGGCCGCACAAUCGGGCCUUAGUAGUUAGUGUGCAAUUUAUAUAACAGUGGACUGGGACAUCUAUCACAGAGUAAGUCGACAUGUAAUCAUUCAUGUCUGAACCGCAAGCAACAAGUGUGAUUCGGCCUCUUCGUGAAAAUGUCCAAAGUGAAUAUUUUGCAUGGCUGCCAUUAUUGCCCAGCAGACCUGUUUGCCAUGGGUGACCGUGCCCGGGGCAUCAAGCCCUCGACAACUUAGCUCCUAGGAUCAGUGGGACACACAAAAACCUCUCCACUACGGUUAAGGUGACGGAGUAUUAGCAGUGCCGAAUAAAAAAAUUGCUUUCACAGCCCCCGACGUGGGACACGCCAAAGCAGAAAUGUCCAAACUCGGUCGUCAGGGGCCGAAGUCCUGCCUGUUUUCCAUCCCUCCCUGCUGAAACGCAGCCGGUUCAAAGGAUCAGCUUUGAAGCUCUGAAGAAGCAAGCUAACGAUCCUGAGUGUGUUGCAUCAGGGAGGGAUGUAAACAAGACAGGACAUCGGCCCUUGAGGACUUGAGUUUGGACCCCCCUGCACCAAAACAAUG